rnacentral:sRNA from 1 species
CUGGAGAAGUAUAAAAGGCAAAGCGAUUCCCUCAUUCGGUCUCAUUCUUCCGCGGUGAUCCUCUGAGUAGCCAGGUAUUAAUAACUAUUUAACUUAUUUUAUUGUAGUGUUUGAGGCUUUAAUGUCGUAUUAAACAGUAUUUCCAUUAUGUAAUAUUGGUUUAUACUUAAAGCCGAUGUUGUUUUGCAAUAAGUUAUUCAUAUUCAUUCAAAAUGUCUUCCACGUGCUACAGGCCUCGGGGGCACGCUAAAAUACAACUUUAUGCAAGUUUUUCUUAGAAAUUGUAACCUGUUUUGACCUUAAAUCAUUAACUAAAGCUGUUGACAAACACGUAUUUGUAUUCCAUUUAAUAAUCGCGUGGUUUGACUGCUGCUUAAGGCCUCGUGUUUACUUGUAUGAUGAAGAAUAUGUUGGUAGGGACAUCUGAGAAAAUCUGAUGAAUGCCAACAUUUCUGACAUGUAGCAAUUAAAAUAUGCUGACUCCUGUUUGUUCAUGCAGAACAUUAAAGAUUUUUCUUUUUUUUUCCAGGUCGAGUCUUUCAAUUAUCUUAGGCUAAUGUGGAACAGCAGAUCCUGAGUCUCAAGUGUUAAAAAUAAACACCAGGACUCUGCUGUUGGUCUGAAUCAUCUCCAAGGGUCAUGUGCUCUGCAGUUCAACUUGAAGGUUGCCUAAAAAGGUGGAUCAAGCUGUAUGGAGAUGGCGUCAGUUGACUUGAGGUUCCCCAAGAAGAUUGAAAAUGUAUGAAGACUCCAGCUGAUAUGCAAGAUGUCUGCAUGUGGCCAAUCGUUUCAGAUUUUCUGACUUAAAAUGGAGAUGAAUGACCCGUCAUUAAAGUAGUCUUCAUGGACUCCCAUCCAGUAUCUUCAUGACUGCCAUCCUUGUGUCUUGUUGACAGGUACAGUGGCCAGCUCUCCAUAGUGCAAUAUGAAGAAUGUUACUUGGAGGUGUCCAAAGGGCUUCAGCCUCUGCAGUUUUGAAAAGGGAUGAAGUUGAGUUCAUCUGGUUGACUUUUUGGGUGAAGUUUCAGUUGCCCCUCCCUUUGUUCAAAGGGCCUCAUCCUCUGUAAAAGGUGCGACUUUGCCAUGUGAUUAGUCUGUCUUGUAACCUGUGACGACAUGAUUCUGCCAAAUGAAUCUAAUGAUUAUACCCCAACCGUUCCAUAUUUCUGAGGUUAACUUAGACUUACUUAAAACCUUGAAGUUUUAUACAUUGUUGUAAAUCUCUCCCUUUUUCCUUGCAGAAUGAAGUUGUGUGCAUCUGCUUGACUGAGGAUUUUUUUCAAUGGAAAUGUGUUUUUUUUUUUUAUGACUUUAAUAAAUUGCUAUUAAUCUGAAGUUGGUGUGUGAGUUAAUCUGCAUUAAGUGUGGUAUCUUUCAAUGUAUUGCACGGAUAGUUGCAAGUAUGAUUUAAAUAGUUAAUGUAAACUCUUGAGUGGAUUUUAUUUUUUAUUUUUUUCUCAAGACCAUAAACCACACACACACACUGUUCCCUCAAGAC